UACGAAGGGGGCUAGCGUUGUUCGGAAUUACUGGGCGUAAAGCGCACGUAGGCGGAUUGUUAAGUUAGGGGUGAAAUCCCGGGGCUCAACCCCGGAACUGCCUUUAAUACUGGCAAUCUCGAGUCCGAGAGAGGUGAGUGGAAUUCCGAGUGUAGAGGUGAAAUUCGUAGAUAUUCGGAGGAACACCAGUGGCGAAGGCGGCUCACUGGCUCGGUACUGACGCUGAGACACGAAAGCGUGGGUAGCAAACAGG
rnacentral:rRNA from 1 species